UACGUAGGGGCCUAGCGUUGUCCGGAAUUAUUGGGCGUAAAGAGCUCGUAGGCGGUUUGUCGCGUCGACUGUGAAAACCCGAGGCUUAACCUCGGGCCUGCAGUCGAUACGGGCAGACUAGAGUUCGGUAGGGGAGACUGGAAUUCCUGGUGUAGCGGUGAAAUGCGCAGAUAUCAGGAGGAACACCGGUGGCGAAGGCGGGUCUCUGGGCCGAUACUGACGCUGAGGAGCGAAAGCGUGGGGAGCGAACAGG
rnacentral:rRNA from 1 species